CCUACGGGAGGCAGCAGUGGGGAAUAUUGGGCAAUGGAGGAAACUCUGACCCAGCGACGCCGCGUGCGGGAUGAAGGCCUUCGGGUUGUAAACCGCUUUCAGUAGGGAAGAAGCGAAAGUGACGGUACCUACAGAAGAAGCACCGGCUAACUAUGUGCCAGCAGCCGCGGUAAUACAUAGGGUGCAAGCGUUGUCCGGAAUUAUUGGGCGUAAAGAGCUCGUAGGUGGUUCGUCACGUCGGAUGUGAAAAUCUGGGGCUCAACCCCAGACCUGCAUUCGAUACGGGCGAUCUAGAGUGUGGUAGGGGAGACUGGAAUUCCUGGUGUAGCGGUGGAAUGCGCAGAUAUCAGGAGGAACACCAAUGGCGAAGGCAGGUCUCUGGGCCAUUACUGACACUGAGGAGCGAAAGCGUGGGGAGCGAACAGGAUUAGAUACCCUGGUAGUCCACGCCGUAAACGGUGGGCACUAGUUGUGGGAACCUUCCACGGUUUCUGCGACGCAGCUAACGCAUUAAGUGCCCCGCCUGGGGAGUACGAUCGCAAGAUUAAAACUCAAAGUAGUAAGUUAGACGUCGUUAGAGAGUUCGACCGAGGCACGACGGAGGGUUAGAGG
rnacentral:rRNA from 1 species